AUUGAACGCUGGCGGCAGGCCUAACAUAUGCAAGUCGAGCGGAUGACGGGAGCUUGCUCCUUGAUUCAGCGGCGGACGGGUGAGUAAUGCCUAGGAAUCUGCCUGGUAGUGGGGGACAACGUUUCGAAAGGAACGCUAAUACCGCAUACGUCCUACGGGAGAAAGCAGGGGACCUUCGGGCCUUGCGCUAUCAGAUGGGCCUAGGUCGGAUUAGCUAGUUGGUGGGGUAAUGGCUCACCAAGGCGACGAUCCGUAACUGGUCUGAGAGGAUGAUCAGUCACACUGGAACUGAGACACGGUCCAGACUCCUACGGGAGGCAGCAGUGGGGAAUAUUGGACAAUGGGCGAAAGCCUGAUCCAGCCAUGCCGCGUGUGUGAAGAAGGUCUUCGGAUUGUAAAGCACUUUAAGUUGGGAGGAAGGGCAGUCAGUUAAUACCUGGUUGUUUUGACGUUACCAACAGAAUAAGCACCGGCUAACUUCGUGCCAGCCGCCGCAGUAA
rnacentral:rRNA from 1 species